rnacentral:rRNA from 1 species
GACGAACGCUGGCGGCGUGCUUAACACAUGCAAGUCGAACGGAAAGGCCCUGCUUUUGUGGGGUUCUCGAUUGGCGAACGGGUGAGUAACACGCGAGUAACCUGCCCUUGACUUUGGGAUAACUUCAGGAAACUCGGGCGAAUAUCGGAUAUGAGCUCCUGCUGCAUGUGGGGGGAUGGAAAGAUUCGGCGGUUGGGGAUGGACUCGCGGCUUAUCAGCUUGUUGGUGGGGUAGUGGCUUUCCAAGGCUUUGACGGGUAGCCGGCCUGAGAGGGUGACCGGCCACAUUGGGACUGAGAUACGGACCAGACUCCUACGGGAGGCAGCAGUGGGGACUAUUGCACAAUGGGCGGAAGCCUGAUGCAGCAACGCCGCGUGCGGGAUGACGGCCUUCGGGUUGUAAACCGCUUUCGACUGUGACGAAGCGUGAGUGACGGUAAUGGGUAAAGAAGCACCGGCUAACUACGUG